rnacentral:tRNA from 1 species
GGAGGAGUCGGAUAGUGGUCAAUUCCAAGGGCUUGCUAAGCCCUAGCCUUCGGGCUUCGUGGGUUCGAAUCCCACCUCCUCCGC